rnacentral:rRNA from 1 species
GGAUGUGAAUAUUAGGACAAUGGGUGAGAGCCUGAUCCAGCCAUCCCGCGUGAAGGACGACGGCCCUAUGGGUUGUAAACUUCUUUUGUAUAGGGAUAAACCUACCCUCGUGAGGGUAGCUGAAGGUACUAUACGAAUAAGCACCGGCUAACUCCGUGCCAGCAGCCGCGGUAAUUAAA